rnacentral:rRNA from 1 species
GAUGAACGCUGACAGAAUGCUUAACACAUGCAAGUCAACUGUGGCGGACGGGUGAGUAACGCGUAAAGAACUUGCCUCACAGAUAGGGACAACAUUUGGAAACGAAUGCUAAUACCUGAUACUGUGAGAGAGCUUUGCGUCCCAUUAGCUAGUGGGAGAGGUAACGGCUCACCAAGGCGAUGAUGGGUAGCCGGCCUGGGAGGGUGAUCGGCCCCAAGGGGACUGGGACGCGACCCUUAGGGCUACGUGAGGCAGCAGUGGGAAUUAUUGGAAGAUGGACCAAAGUCUGAUCCAGCAAUUCUGUGUGCACGAUGAAGUUUUCGGAAUGUAAAGUGCUUUCAGUUGGGAAGCGGUACCAACAGAAGAAGUGACGGCUAAAUACGUGCCAGCAGCCGCGGUAAUUC